GACGAACGCUGGCGGCGUGCUUAACACAUGCAAGUCGAACGGGCCUGCCUGGCUUUGGUUGGGUGGGUGAGUGGCGAACGGGUGAGUAACACGUGAGUAACCUGCCCUCUUCUCUUGGAUAACUGCUUGAAAGGGCGGCUAAUACGGGAUGUCCUGGCUGCCUCGCAUGGGGUGGUUUGGAAAGAUUCGGCCUGGUUUUGGUUGUUUUGGUGGGGGAUGGGCUCGCGGCUUAUCAGCUUGUUGGUGGGGUGAUGGCCUACCAAGGCGGUGACGGGUAGCCGGCCUGAGAGGGUGGACGGUCACACUGGGACUGAGACACGGCCCAGACUCCUCGGGAGGCAGCAGUGGGGGAUUUUGCACAAUGGGCGCAAGCCUGAUGCAGCGACGCCGCGUGAGGGAUGGAGGCCUUCGGGUUGUGAACCUCUGUCGCCGGUGAUGUAGGCUCUGCUUUGUGGG
rnacentral:rRNA from 1 species